rnacentral:rRNA from 1 species
CUUAGCUUGCUAAGUUUGAUGGCGACCGGCGCACGGGUGAGUAACACGUAUCCCACCUGCCGAUGACUCGGGGAUAGCCUUUCGAAAGAAAGAUUAAUACCCGAUGGAGAGGUUCUUCCGCAUGGUAGAACUAUUAAAGAAUUUCGGUCAUCGAUGGGGAUGCGUUCCAUUAGGUUGUUGGCGGGGUAACGGCCCACCAAGCCUUCGAUGGAUAGGGGUUCUGAGAGGAAGGUCCCCCACAUUGGAACUGAGACACGGUCCAAACUCCUACGGGAGGCAGCAGUGAGGAAUAUUGGUCAAUGGACGAGAGUCUGAACCAGCCAAGUAGCGUGAAGGAUGACUGCCCUAUGGGUUGUAAACUUCUUUUAUACGGGAAUAAAGUGAGGCACGUGUGCCUUUUUGUAUGUACCGUAUGAAUAAGGAUCGGCUAACUCCGUGCCAGCAGCCGCGGUAAUACGGAGGAUCCGAGCGUUAUCCGGAUUUAUUGGGUUUAAAGGGAGCGUAGGCGGACGCUUAAGUCAGUUGUGAAAGUUUGCGGCUCAACCGUAAAAUUGCAGUUGAUACUGGGUGUCUUGAGUACAGUAGAGGCAGGCGGAAUUCGUGGUGUAGCGGUGAAAUGCUUAGAUAUCACGAAGAACUCCGAUUG